rnacentral:tmRNA from 5 species
GGGGGCGCAAUGGUUUCGACGGGGGCAAAUUGCUCCUGGGAAGCGAGUCGAAGGGAUCCUGUACCUGCGUUAAAAAACUGGGAACUUAAAUAUAAUUGCAAACGAUAAUUUUGCAUUAGCUGCCUAAUAGUUGCAGCUCGUCAGCCUAAGAGUCCCACGACUUAGGGUCUGGCGUCGACAGUGGGGAACCGAGUCUUACAAAGCUUUGAGUAAGGAACGGAAUUAAUGAAGCUACUGAAUCUAGGAGCCUGUUUAUCGGCGCUUAGAGGAGGGAAUGUAAAAGGAUAAACUGCACUCGGAGAUGCCCAGGGGUUGCUGCUUUCGGACAGGGGUUCGAUUCCCCUCGCCUCCACCA